CACGUAGGGGGCAAGCGUUGUCCGGAUUUAUUGGGCGUAAAGAGCGUGUAGGCGGCCAGAUAGGUCCGUUGUGAAAACUCGAGGCUCAACCUCGAGACGCCGAUGGAAACCACUUGGCUAGAGUCCGGAAGAGGAGAGUGGAAUUCCGAGUGUAGAGGUGAAAUUCGUAGAUAUUCGGAAGAACACCAGUGGCGAAGGCGGCUCACUGGACUGGUAUUGACGCUGAGGUGCGAAAGCGUGGGGAGCAAACAGG
rnacentral:rRNA from 1 species